AAAUUUAUUAAACAAGCUCGUGAACAAAAUUAAUGAGCAGUUGGUGAGCAAAAAUUUGUGAGACACGUUCGUGAGCGUAAGUUAAUGAGCGGUUCGUGAGCAAAAGCUCGUGAGACAUGUUCAUGAGCGGUUCGCGAGCCGUUCGUGAACAGAGUUAUUCCUUAAUGAGUCGAUACUCAAACAGUAUUUUUGGCUCGAUCCAAGCUCGAGCUCGAGUUCGAGUUCGCUAAUUUUUUAACAAACGAUACACGAGCACUCUAGGGUUCGGCUCGG
rnacentral:lncRNA from 1 species